UUUGGACACCAUCAUUUAAUAAAAUCUCCAGAGUCCGUCGCUAUUGUUAUCCAUUGAGUCGACAAUCAGUUGUCUCUUUACUUUGUUGAUUAAUUCGUUUUGUGGGCGGGAUGGGUUCUCUUAGAGUUCAGUUUUCGUUUCUGAAAGAAGUUCAAAUUUCAACAAGGCAAGUAGUCUAUGAGACAAAUCAGAAAACUGUAGUGUGUGGGUUGAGAAAUGGACCAAGAAAACCCAUGUGGAGGUCAAGGGUUUUGUCCUCAGAAGCCAUUCAAGCUGUCCAUUCCGUGAAAUUAGCAACAUCACAUGACAAAUUAGAGGAAAUCUUGAAAAACAAACUAAGUAGGUUAUUGAAAGCUGACGUAUUAGACACCUUGACUGAGUUGCAAAGGCAAAAUGAAGUUCAUUUGGCUCUUAAGGUGUUCAACUUUGUCAGGAACGAGGAGUGGUACAUACCAGAUUUAUCUGUGUUCAAUAGUAUGAUAAUGAUGCUGGGCAAAAACAAAUUCAUAAAAACGGUUGAACAACUCUUUGUGCACAUGAUGAAAGAAGGCCUGCAACCAGAUAGUAGAACUUAUACUGAGCUGAUUGGGGCGUACUUUAGAGUACAUCUCAUAGAGAAGGCAAUGGAAGCGUAUGAACUGAUGAAGAUAUCAGGAUUCUGCCCUGAUGAGUUGACUAUGAAAAUUUUGAUAAGGAAUCUUGAAAAGGCUGAAGAGAAAGAGCUUGUGGUUAGAGUAAAGAAAGAAUGCGCUAACUAUAUUGACUACCCAGAGAAAUUUCUAAAAGAAACUGAAAGAAGUACCAAUAGGUAUCAUGUUCGGGCCUGCUCCAGCAAUGACAAGAAUCAUUUCAUUGAUAGAUUUGCUUCAGGCUCACCUAAAUUUUCAAAAAAGAAGAACGAUAGUAAAUGGACUUUACAAAAAGAAGGGUUGCAAGGACGUCAAGUUGCAGAUAGCUUGCGGGAUAAGUCUGCUUUUGCUGAUGUAUUGAGGUAGAUCUCCAAGAUACAGAAGACUUCUUCAAGAAGUAGCUAUGUCGUGUUGCGAGAGAGGACAAAUCAAUAGGACAAAACCAAGUCACAAAUGGCUACAAAUUGGUCGAGAUUGGGAGAACACAAGGGGUUGGAAAAGAAACUGAACUUAACUUUCUGUUUUGUUCCGAAGUUUAAACCUUAUACAAUGAACAAGCUUUGUUUGUAUCUAAUCAUCGUCGGAGUAGACAAAUGAGCCAAAAAUGGGCAAUAAAGAUGUGUGUGUGCCUAGAUGAAAAUGGGACAUGAAGCAAGUUGGUAGGAUAUAACUUUAUGUUAAAUACAAUUUGAAGAAUUUUUAUGCUA